UAUGAAGGGGGCUAGCGUUGCUCGGAAUCACUGGGCGUAAAGGGUGCGUAGGCGGGUCUUUAAGUCAGGGGUGAGAUCCUGGAGCUCAACUCCAGAACUGCCUUUGAUACUGAGGAUCUUGAGUUCGGGAGAGGUGAGUGGAACUGCGAGUGUAGAGGUGAAAUUCGUAGAUAUUCGCAAGAACACCAGUGGCGAAGGCGGCUCACUGGCCCGAUACUGACGCUGAGGCACGAAAGCGUGGGGAGCAAACAGGG
rnacentral:rRNA from 1 species